GAUGGACCGAGGCCGAAUUGCUGAGCCCUGCACUUGCGUACACUGCCACACUACCCACAGUAUGGCACUGAUCCACAACCGUUCACUAUUCUCUGACAAGCAGAUGAUCAAGCUUCAAGAGUCUCCUGAAGAUAUGCCUGCUGGGCAGACACCUCACACUGUUGUCCUUUUUGCCCACAAUGAUCUUGUAGACAAGGUUCAGCCAGGGGACAGAGUGAAUGUCACAGAUUCUAAAUGCUGUCUCUUCAUGCAGAAACUGUCCUGUCUUCAAUGCUAUUUGCAUGUGGCAGACUUUCUACAUUUUGGAGGAAUGUUGUGGGUACUUGGUCAAGGGUGAUGGGUUGAGUGACAACAUUGUUCUUCAUGGGGAUUUGAAUCCAAGG
rnacentral:lncRNA from 1 species